ACCGAGUUCGGGUUUCAAGUAUCCAGAUUUGGGGUCGCCACAGUAGUGUUGGUUUGUUAUUUAGUUUUAGUGGACAAAUUUAAUUUCGUGUUUUACUGCCUAUAAAUUGUUUCAUUACAAUUAAAUCUGAACAUAUAUAAUUAUUUAAUUUGAUGGGAAUAUUUUUAGUUAUUUAAUAUUCAAAUCUUAUAAAUUUGAAUUUAUUGCCCU
rnacentral:lncRNA from 1 species